AGCUUCUCACAGUGGCAGUAUUGCAGCCAAUGAGGUUGAUCUGAGGCAUGAUUAUUGCUAAUUAAAAUCUGAAAGCCCUUUUAUAACCCACCUAUGCCCUAUUUUGUGCUUGUUUCAUGCACAGUUGAAAGUAAACUACAGUACAUUUUAGUGUUUUAUAUGUCAAUUUGCCAACUCAUUUGAUAGUU
rnacentral:snRNA from 14 species